rnacentral:tRNA from 1 species
CAAAUCAGAGCUUGUUAAAGUAUUUCAUUUACAUUGAAAAGAAAUUAGUAAAAUAUUGAUUUGU